GAAACCUAAGAAAUAAAUAAAGUCAUAGGCUACUGUAGGCUAAUCAGAAUAAAAUUAUCAUAUAAUCUCUGUGACUUUAUUAACAAAAGAAUGUUACAAUUAUACUAUGUUGUUGAGUGCAUUGUGUGUGUCUAACUAAAACUUUUUUUUACAGAUACAGCAUCAUUUCAUCGUCUAUAUGGUGGGACAACCUGCUAGACAGGUUGAAGACAUCUGUAUCUACCUCAAAGAAGGCAUGGAGAGACACAUUAAAGAAUAUGUGAAUUGUGAAAUUGGUGAGUUGGGGAUUGCACAGACAGUGGAAGUUUUGCAAAACCUACUUGGUGUCACACAUGGGUGUGAAAUUGUUUUUUGGACUCAUUUAUGCACUUAAACUGAACUACCUGAAGAACCUCAAGUGCACCUUUGAAAAAAUCCUAAUGGAACUGGACUUGAUACAACCAAGCAAUCACUGAAAGAUGCUUCAGUGAAUACCUGACAGACACGCUAAUACAUCCCCCUCAAAGUGGGUAAAUUUUUGUACAUUUAUAAGUGAACUUUUUAACAUUAAAGGAAUAUUGCAUUUUCAUUAAACAAAAAUCCUGAUA